rnacentral:rRNA from 1 species
CCUACGGGGGGCUGCAGUGAGGAAUAUUGGUCAAUGGGCGCGAGCCUGAACCAGCCAAGUCGCGUGAAGGAUGAAGGCCCUGCGUGUUGUAAACUUCUUUUAUAAGGGAAUAAAGGGAGGCACUAGUGCCUUUUUGUGGGUACUUUAUGAAUAAGCAUCGGCUAACUCCGUGCCAGCAGCCGCGGUAAUACGGAGGAUCCGAGCGUUAUCCGGAUUUAUUGGGUUUAAAGGGUGCGUAGGUGGGGUGUUAAGUCAGUGGUGAAAUUUUGGGGCUCAACCGUAGAAUUGCAAUUGAUACUGGCAGCCUUGAGUACCGUAGAGGUAGGCGGAAUUCGUGGUGUAGCGGUGAAAUGCUUAGAUAUCACGAAGAACCCCGAUUGCGAAGGCAGCUUAC